rnacentral:rRNA from 1 species
UCAUUUUUUUAGGUUUACUUUAUUGAUUAAUUUUUAUCUAAAUUAAUUUUUUUGUUUUAGUAUUUUCUAAAAAUAAUUUAUUAUUUUGUCUUGAAAGAGAUAUAAUUAGGUUUAUGUAAAAUAAAGUAAAAUUUAUUAUGUACCUUUUGUAUCAGGGUAAAUUAAUAAAAUUUAUGUAUAUAUAUAUCCCGAAAAGAAAUGAUUUAUGUUAUAUUGUUGUUUAUUGUUGUAUAAAUAUCAUUAAAUAUAGCUUGGAAAUGAAACUUUAACGAAUUUCUUGAUAUCUGGUUUCUUAAGAAAUAAUUUUAAUUUAAGAAAAUUAUUUUUGUUAAAAUAAUUACAUAUAAUUUUCCAUUUGUAUGGGGGAUAAGCUCUUUAUGAUUACUACAAGGUUUUUUAUAAAAUAUAAUAAUAGGCUUAAAACUAGCCAUUUUUGAUUUAGUUAAAUUUCAUUUUUUAUUAAAAAUUAUUUGAUUAUUUUUAGUUAGAUAUUAAGAAUUAUUAUAUAAUUAAUUAUUUUAUUUAUAAUGAUUUAAUUAGUAGAAUUUAGAAUUAAUGAUUAUGAAUUUGGCAAUUUUAAUUUCCACCUGUUUAUCAAAAACAUGUCCUUUAGGAAUUAAUUAAAGGUCUAAUCUGCCCAAUGAAUUAUUAAAUGGCCGCGGUAAUCUGACCGUGCAAAGGUAGCAUAAUAAUUAGUCUUUUAAUUGAAGGCUUGUAUGAAUGAUUGGAUGAGAAAUUUACUUUAUUGUUUUUAAUAUUUGAAUUUGAUUUUUAAGUUAAAAAGCUUAAAUAUUAAUGUGGGACGAGAAGACCCUAUAGAGUUUAAAAAAUUAGUAUAUUAAUUGUUAUUAGGUUAUAAUAACUUAGUAAAUUAUUUAAUUUUUUUUGUUGGGGUGAUAUUGAAAUAUAAUAAACUUUCAAUUAAUUUUUCAUUUAUUAAUGUUUAAUUGAUCCUACUUUUAAGAUUAAAAGAAUAAAUUACCUUAGGGAUAACAGCAUAAUUAAACUGGAGAGUUCAAAUCGAUAUUUUAGUUUGUGACCUCGAUGUUGGAUUAAGAAAAGAUCUUGGGGCAAAUUUCAAGUAAAAAAUCUAGGUCUGUUCGACCUUUAAAUUCUUACAUGAUCUGAGUUCAGACCGGCGUGAGCCAGGUUGGUUUCUAUCUACAUUUAUUUUUUCAAUAUUAGUACGAAAGGACCAUAUUAAAUAAUUUUAUUAU